AAGGGAAACAUAAAAGAAAUAAAGAUAGACAGAGGAAUUGCAUCAAACUGAUCACAGAAUAUAAAUAGAAUAUUAAUACGAACUUAUAUUCAAGUGUAAAAAUUAACAAAUUGAAUUCGUGACAGAAAAAUUAGAAGAGACAAGUAGAAUGGCAUCAUCAUUAAUUGCGAAAAUGAUCAAAUUAAAGGUAACCGACACUUCCAUUAAAAGGAUAAUCCCCGAGUCGGCGC